CACGUAGGGCGCGAGCGUUGUCCGGAAUUAUUGGGCGUAAAGAGCUCGUAGGCGGCCUGUUGCGUCCGCUGUGAAAGCCCGGGGCUUAACCCCGGGUCGGCAGUGGAUACGGGCAGGCUGGAGGUAGGCAGGGGAGAAUGGAAUUCCCGGUGUAGCGGUGAAAUGCGCAGAUAUCGAGAGGAACACCAGUGGCGAAGGCGAGUCUCUGGACGACUCCUGACACUGAGGCACGAAAGCUAGGGGAGCAAACAGG
rnacentral:rRNA from 1 species